UACGUAGGGGGCAAGCGUUGUCCGGAUUUAUUGGGCGUAAAGAGCGUGUAGGCGGCCAGACAGGUCUGCUGUGAAAACUCGAGGCUCAACCUCGAGACGCCGGUGGAAACCGUUUGGCUAGAGUCCGGAAGAGGAGAGUGGAAUUCCUGGUGUAGCGGUGAAAUGCGCAGAUAUCAGGAAGAACACCCGUGGCUAAGGCGGCUCUCUAGUACGGUACUGACGCUGAGGCGCGAAAGCGUGGGGAGCGAACAGG
rnacentral:rRNA from 1 species